AUACGUAGGGGGCGAGCGUUGUCCGGAAUUACUGGGCGUAAAGCGCGCGCAGGCGGCUUGUUAAGUCAGGUGUCAAAAUGCGGGGCUCAACCCCGUAUCGCACUUGAAACUGGCAGGCUUGAGUGCAGGAGAGGGAAGUGGAAUUCCUAGUGUAGCGGUGAAAUGCGUAGAUAUUAGGAGGAACACCAGUGGCGAAGGCGACUUCCUGGACUGUAACUGACGCUGAGGCGCGAAAGCUAGGGGAGCAAACAGGAUUAGAUACCCUGGUAGUCCUAGCCGUAAACGAUGGGUACUAGGUGUUGGGGGUGACAAUCCUCCAGUGCCGCAGUUAACGCAUUAAGUACCCCGCCUGGGGAGUACGGCCGCAAGGCUGAA
rnacentral:rRNA from 1 species